CGUUCUGUAAGCCUGCGAAGGUGGCCUGUGAGGGUUGCUGGAGGUAUCAGAAGUGCGAAUGCUGACAUAAGUAACGAUAAAGCGGGUGAAAAGCCCGCUCGCCGGAAGACCAAGGGUUCCUGUCCAACGUUAAUCGGGGCAGGGUGAGUCGACCCCUAAGGCGAGGCCGAAAGGCGUAGUCGAUGGGAAACGGGUUAAUAUUCCCGUACUUGGUGUUACUGCGAAGGGGGGACGGAGAAGGCUAUGUUGGCCGGGCGACGGUUGUCCCGGUUUAAGCGUGUAGGUGUGUGUUCCAGGUAAAUCCGGUUCACUUUAACACUGAGGCGUGACGACGAGGCACUACGGUGCUGAAGCAACAAAUGCCCUGCUUCCAGGAAAAGCCUCUAAGCAUCAGGUAACAUCAAAUCGUACCCCAAACCGACACAGGUGGUCAGGUAGAGAAUACCAAGGCGCUUGAGAGAACUCGGGUGAAGGAACUAGGCAAAAUGGUGCCGUAACUUCGGGAGAAGGCACGCUGACACGUAGGUGAAGUGAUUUACUCACGGAGCUGAAGUCAGUCGAAGAUACCAGCUGGCUGCAACUGUUUAUUAAAAACACAGCACUGUGCAAACACGAAAGUGGACGUAUACGGUGUGACGCCUGCCCGGUGCCGGAAGGUUAAUUGAUGGGGUCAGCGCAAGCGAAGCUCCUGAUCGAAGCCCCGGUAAACGGCGGCCGUAACUAUAACGGUCCUAAGGUAGCGAAAUUCCUUGUCGGGUAAGUUCCGACCUGCACGAAUGGCGUAAUGAUGGCCAGGCUGUCUCCACCCGAGACUCAGUGAAAUUGAACUCGCUGUGAAGAUGCAGUGUACCCGCGGCAAGACGGAAAGACCCCGUGAACCUUUACUAUAGCUUGACACUGAACAUUGAGCCUUGAUGUGUAGGAUAGGUGGGAGGCUUUGAAGCGUGGACGCCAGUCUGCGUGGAGCCGACCUUGAAAUACCACCCUUUAAUGUUUGAUGUUCUAACGUGGACCCGUUACCCGGGUUGCGGACAGUGUCUGGUGGGUAGUUUGACUGGGGCGGUCUCCUCCUAAAGAGUAACGGAGGAGCACGAAGGUUGGCUAAUCCUGGUCGGACAUCAGGAGGUUAGUGCAAUGGCAUAAGCCAGCUUGACUGCGAGCGUGACGGCGCGAGCAGGUGCGAAAGCAGGUCAUAGUGAUCCGGUGGUUCUGAAUGGAAGGGCCAUCGCUCAACGGAUAAAAGGUACUCCGGGGAUAACAGGCUGAUACCGCCCAAGAGUUCAUAUCGACGGCGGUGUUUGGCACCUCGAUGUCGGCUCAUCACAUCCUGGGGCUGAAGUAGGUCCCAAGGGUAUGGCUGUUCGCCAUUUAAAGUGGUACGCGAGCUGGGUUUAGAACGUCGUGAGACAGUUCGGUCCCUAUCUGCCGUGGGCGCUGGAGAACUGAGGGGGGCUGCUCCUAGUACGAGAGGACCGGAGUGGACGCAUCACUGGUGUUCGGGUUGUCAUGCCAAUGGCACUGCCCGGUAGCUAAAUGCGGAAGAGAUAAGUGCUGAAAGCAUCUAAGCACGAAACUUGCCCCGAGAUGAGUUCUCCCUGAGACUUAGAGUCUCCUGAAGGAACGUUGAAGACGACGACGUUGAUAGGCCGGGUGUGUAAGCGCAGCGAUGCGUUGAGCUAACCGGUACUAAUGAACCGUGAGGCUUAACCUUACAACGCCGAAG
rnacentral:rRNA from 1 species